AUGUGCGCCUCGUACACUGCCGCGCCCAUGCGCCCCACGCCGAAUUGACGACUGUUCGCGAGGAUAUGGCAACC
rnacentral:sRNA from 1 species